rnacentral:rRNA from 1 species
CAGGCCUAACACAUGCAAGUCGAGCGGGCCCUUCGGGGUCAGCGGCAGACGGGUGAGUAACGCGUGGGAAUCUACCCUGAACUGCGGAAUAGCUCCGGGAAACUGGAAUUAAUACCGCAUGUGUCCUGAGGGACAAAGGUUUACCGGUUUGGGAUGAGCCCGCGUUGGAUUAGCUAGUUGGUGGGGUAACGGCCUACCAAGGCGACGAUCCAUAGCUGGUCUGAGAGGAUGAUCAGCCACAUUGGGACUGAGACACGGCCCAAACUCCUACGGGAGGCAGCAGUGGGGAAUAUUGGACAAUGGGCGCAAGCCUGAUCCAGCCAUGCCGCGUGAGUGAUGAAGGUCUUAGGAUUGUAAAGCUCUUUCGGCGGGGACGAUAAUGACGGUACCCGCAGAAGAAGCCCCGGCUAACUUCGUGCCAGCAGCCGCGGUAAU